CGUGUAGGCGGUCAGGUAAGUGGAAUGUGAAAUGCCCCGGCUCACCCGGGGACCGGCAUCCCAAACUGCCUGGCUUGAGUAUGGGAGAGGAUGGAGGAAUUCCUGGUGUAGCGGUGAAAUGCGUAGAUAUCAGGAGGAACACCGGUGGCGAAGGCGUCCAUCUGGCCCAAUACUGACGCUGAGGCGCGAAAGCUAGGGGGAGCAAAACGG
rnacentral:rRNA from 1 species